rnacentral:piRNA from 1 species
AGGGCAGGAAGUUUACUAGAAGAGUUGUU